rnacentral:tRNA from 1 species
GGGGCUGGGGCUCAGUGGUAGAGCGCUUGCCUGGCAUGCAUGGGGCACUGAGUUCAAUUCUCAACACCA